UUAAUUUCUUUUUUGAUGUUAUGUAGAUGACUUGACUGGCCUUUGCCAUUUUUGUGAGCUGAUGGACGCUGACACUCACUGGAUUGGAUGCGAUGUGUGCCCAAGAUGGUAUCACCAGAACUGCCUGAAAAAGACAUUCAAGGGGAAAAAGGGAAAGUUUGUCUGUGAAGCGUGUCAGUAAAAAAAAACUGUUUAGUGUUAGUUUUUAUUGGCUGUUUCGGACAGUGCACUUUUACCUGUUUUGUUAAAGGCUCUGAGUUUUAGAAUGCAUAAAGAUGAGUAGUUCCUUUUGAUUUUUUUUUUUUUUUUUUUUACAUUAAACAGUGUUGGUAAGUGUAUAUGUGUGGUUUCUGAAAAAAGACAUUUAGUACAACAAUAAAUCUUCUAUAAA